rnacentral:rRNA from 1 species
AGAGUUUGAUCCUGGCUCAGGACGAACGCUGGCGGCGUGCUUAACACAUGCAAGUCGAACGGAAAGGCCCUGCUUUUGUGGGGUGCUCGAGUGGCGAACGGGUGAGUAACACGUGAGUAACCUGCCCUUGACUUUGGGAUAACUUCAGGAAACUGGGGCUAAUACCGGAUAGGAGCUCCUGCUGCAUGGUGGGGGUUGGAAAGUUUCGGCGGUUGGGGAUGGACUCGCGGCUUAUCAGCUUGUUGGUGGGGUAGUGGCUUACCAAGGCUUUGACGGGUAGCCGGCCUGAGAGGGUGACCGGCCACAUUGGGACUGAGAUACGGCCCAGACUCCUACGGGAGGCAGCAGUGGGGAAUAUUGCACAAUGGGCGGAAGCCUGAUGCAGCAACGCCGCGUGCGGGAUGACGGCCUUCGGGUUGUAAACCGCUUUCGCCUGUGACGAAGCGUGAGUGACGGUAAUGGGUAAAGAAGCACCGGCUAACUACGUG